CUCAAACCGUCAUCCUCAUACACAAAAAAAAAUAAAAUUUCAGCCACAACAAAGACGCACCAAAACUGCACCGAACUCCCCAUACAUAUACAUAUAAACUCAAAAAUUCAGCCAACAUACCAGACCCGAUAUGUUGUCGUUCGCCAAAUCACAGUCGCCGGUUACUUAAAUCCAAGCCGUCGACGUCAACAUCACUCGUCGGCUGCUUCUAACAGAGCUUCCGACGCCUUAGCUUCUAACAGGAAACUGCAGAUUGCCUCCGUGCGCGGCGGCGGUCUUCAGAACUGGAGUGCUCAGUUGUGAGAGAAAGGAAAAUUACUUUUGGGUCGGGUUGGUUAGUGGUUAUUAAUUGGGUUGGGGCUUAAUUUCAAUCAGGCUUGUUUAUGUCUAUCACUUGGGUUUGGGCUUAGUUGCUGUAUUAGUUUAUUACUUGGGUUUGGGCUUAAUUGGUGUAUUAGUUAUCAAUUGGGUUUGGACUUAUUUUCAAUCGGGCUGGGUUAUUUGUAUUGCUUUGGCUUGGGCUUGGGCUUGGACUUGUUUAAGAUUUUGAGUGUGAUUUAGGCCCAAAUUUGUGAAAUGGGCUCAUUUAUUAUUUUGUUGUUCUGAUUUUGUAUUAUUAAAAAAAAAAGAGUAAAAAAAAAGGUAAAAAAAAAAAUUCUUGAAUUUUGAGAAUUUCCUGACAUUCUUUUAUAGGUACAUUAUUUCCUCGACGAACACGGAAUUUUCUAUCUUGGCAUCUCAGCGCUUAACAGUUCAGAAAGUGGAGACAUUCGACACUAGGACGACUCAGACCAACUGAACCCAGGGAGCCUCUGCUUCUAUCUAUUUUAGUGACAAUGUUACUGUAUUUUAGAAUUGCAUUAUUUCAUUCUUUGUGUUGCUAAUAUUUGGAUAAUUUAGCCUUAAAUCUAUUGGACUGAAAUUCACGAGCCGACCCCAUUGUUCACUUAUUUACCCCACGCGACUAGACCUAGCAUUUGUACCUUUGUUUUUUUAUUUUAUUGGCAUUAGUAGUAUUAGCUUGUGAUCAGGCCAUACAUAAUCCCUACAAUAAAAUAAAAUAAUAAUAAUAACAAUGGAUAAAUUUCAGUCACUAUUUUCCCUGUUAGCACUCGUUGGUUGUUGAUCUCAGUAGACACUUCACCUAGCUUGUGUUACCGUGUAUGCGAUUGCGUAGUGGUCGCGUUACUGCCUCUAGCUCUAGUACCGUUGCCAUGGACCCUCCCCACAUUGAAGCUAUCACCCGACAGUUGGCACAGUUACAAAAUCAAUUAACGGCUGUCCAAACUGAGUUAGCCGCCACGCGCGAGGAGAACAGAGCCCUAACCGCUAGGGUAAACACUCUUGACCCAACCCAAUACUCAACUGAAGCUGAAAAUUCUGACGCUUCCAUUAAUAGACCUCAUCGUCGUCCACAAGGUGGUCGACACCAUGCUAGAUAUGAUCGUAGGGAAGGAAAUCAAGCUCGUGGGCGCGAGCGGGAAUAUCACCGUCAUGGUACACUGUCCCCCCCUCGCCACGAGGAGCGCCUCUUUCGAAAUAUUAAGUUAGAUGCCCCUACAUUUGAUGGUUGUCUAGAUCCUAGUGUAUUCAAUCAAUGGGUUAGGGAUAUGGAUCGCUUCUUUGCCUGGUAUGGGGUCCCUGAAGAUCGAAGGGUACAAUUUGUCAGUUUGAAAUUAACUAGCACAGCUCAACUGUUUUGGGAAAGCGUUGAGGACCUCCUAGAGAGGCGCCAUGCUCCCCCUAUUGGGAAUUGGAAUGAAAUGAAGCGUCGCCUUGAAGAAAAAUAUUUACCUCAAUCUUACAGGGACAACUUGCUGGAUCAAUGGAAUGCACUUACACAAGGCAGUCGACCUGUGACCGAAUAUGUUGCUCAGUUUGACGAGUUUCAAAUGAGAUGUCAGGUUGUUGAGGACGAAGUCAUGACUUUGAGUAGGUUUAGGCAAGGCCUACGGGAUGAUCGUAGACGUGAGCUUAUCCUUAGAGGUGUCACCACUCUUGACCACGCCUACUCCUUCGUUCGGGAUUACGAGUUAGUGACUAGGACACCGUACAGAAGUCGUAGUGACUCCCGCACUGCAACCUCUUCUGCAUCCACUCCGUCCCCUAAGUCUAUUCUAGGUCCUCCUCCUUCUAAUACUACCCCUACAUCGGAUAGUAGAGGUAGAGGUUCUGAAGUUUCAAGAACGUCCUCUCGUUUGCAAUGCUUCAACUGUAACGGUUUUGGUCACAUUGCUUCUAAGUGUCCUAGCCAAGCCCUAGUUUUGGAAGAGCGUGAAGGUAUAGUUGACGAGCCACUAGAGGUUCAGGUGUAUGAACCUAAGUUAGAAGAGUUUGAUGACUUGGAGGAUAGUGAAGAUACCUUCAUGGGUUGUAUCCAGGCUAGUCCCCUUAUCCCACAUACGCUAGGGUCGGUGUCGUCCGUUGUACUCUUACCCAGCCGAGGGAUGCCGAUGAUUGGCGCCGUCAU
rnacentral:lncRNA from 1 species